rnacentral:rRNA from 1 species
AAAAUCCGGAGAUCUUAGAUGAGAGGUGAUAACGAGGAAGCUUGCUUCCGAAGUGAGUGAUACCCUGCUUCCAGGAAAAGCCACUAAGCUUCAGCUGCACACGACCGUACCGCAAACCGACACUGGUGCGCGAGAUGAGUAUUCUAAGGCGCUUGAGAGAACUCUGGAGAAGGAACUCGGCAAAUUAACACCGUAACUUCGGAAGAAGGUGUGCCUUUAGUAGGUGAACCUGUACAAGGGGAGCCCAAUGAGGUUGCAAGAAAUCGGUGGCUGCGACUGUUUAUUAAAAACACAGCACUCUGCAAAGACGAAAGUCGACGUAUAGGGUGUGACGCCUGCCCGGUGCUGGAAGAUUAAAUGAUGGGGUGCAAGCUCUUGAUUGAAGUCCCAGUAAACGGCGGCCGUAACAAUAACGGUCCUAAGGUAGCGAAAUUCCUUGUCGGGUAAGUUCCGACCUGCACGAAUGGCGUAACGAUGGCCACACUGUCUCCUCCAGAGACUCAGCGAAGUUGAAAUGUUUGUGAUGAUGCAAUCUCCCCGCGGAAAGACGGAAAGACCCCAUGAACCUUUACUGUAGCUUUACAUUGGACUUUGAACAGAUCUGUGUAGGAUAGGUGGGAGGCUUGAAGCGGUGCCGCUAGGUGUCGUGGAGCCAACGUUGAAAUACCACCCUGGUGUGUUUGAGGUUCUAACCUUGGCCCGUUAUCCGGGUUGGGGACAGUGUAUGGUAGGCAGUUUGACUGGGGCGGUCUCCUCCCAAAGCGUAACGGAGGAGUUCGAAGGUACGCUAGGCACGGUCGGAAAUCGUGCUAAUAGUGCAUAGGCAUAAGCGUGCUUGACUGCGAGACUGACAAGUCGAGCAGGUACGAAAGUAGGACUAAGUGAUCCGGUGGUUCUGUAUGGAAGGGCCAUCGCUCAACGGAUAAAAGGUACUCUGGGGAUAACAGGCUGAUACCGCCCAAGAGUUCAUAUCGACGGCGGUGUUUGGCACCUCGAUGUCGGCUCAUCUCAUCCUGGGGCUGUAGCCGGUCCCAAGGGUAUGGCUGUUCGCCAUUUAAAGAGGUACGUGAGCUGGGUUUAAAACGUCGUGAGACAGUUUGGUCCCUAUCUUCCGUGGGCGCUGCAAGAUUGAGAGAGCCUGCUCCUAGUACGAGAGGACCGGAGUGGACGCACCUCUGGUGUAUCGGUUGUCACGCCAGUGGCAUAGCCGAGUAGCUAAGUGCGGAAGAGAUAACCGCUGAAAGCAUCUAAGCGGGAAACUCGUCUCAAGAUGAGUCUUGCCGGGGCCUUGAGCCCCCUGAAGAGUCGUCCAAGACCAGGACGUUGAUAGGCCAGGUGUGGAAGCGCAGUAAUGCGUUGAGCUAACUGGUACUAAUUGCUCGUGCGGCUUGACCCU